CCUACGGGGGGCAGCAGUAGGGAAUCUUUCACAAUGGGCGAAAGCCUGAUGGAGCAACGCCGCGUGCAGGAUGAAGGCCUUCGGGUUGUAAACUGCUUUUAUAAGCGAGAAAUAUGAUGGUAACUUAUGAAUAAGGAUCGGCUAACUACGUGCCAGCAGCCGCGGUCAUACGUAGGAUCCGAGCAUUAUCCGGAGUGACUGGGUGUAAAGAGUUGCGUAGGUGGCAUAAUAAGUAGCUAGUGAAAUCUGGUGGCUCAACCAUUCAGACUAUUAGCUAAACUGUUAAGCUCGAGACCGUUAGGGGUAACUGGAAUUUCUAGUGUAGGAGUGAAAUCCGUAGAUAUUAGAAGGAACACCAAUAGCGUAGGCAGGUUGCUGGGACGGUUCUGACACUAAGGCACGAAAGCGUAGGGAGCAAACAGGAUUAGAUACCCGAGUAGUC
rnacentral:rRNA from 1 species